AUUUCAAUACCUUCAUGAAGGAGCACAGCUGGUCUUCAACUACAUUCAACCCUCGGCCUCUGGAGAGUAUUACUGUGGAUCUGAGAACAAGCUGGGGAGGAAGAGGUCUGGAUACGUCUCUAUCAAUGUGAAAUGGAACUCAACAUUCAUAAUACAUAUCAUCAAGUGGACUCUGCUGCUCUUGAUGUUGAUUUCUCUGUUUCUCCUGACUCUGUGGACGAG